rnacentral:rRNA from 1 species
UACAGAGGUCUCAAGCGUUGUUCGGAUUCAUUGGGCGUAAAGCGUCUGUAGGUGGCUUUUUAAGUCCGCCGUCAAAUCCCAGGGCUCAACUCUGGACAGGCGGUGGAAACUACCAAGCUGGAGUACGGUAGGGGCAGAGGGAAUUUCCGGUGGAGCGGUGAAAUGCGUAGAGAUCCGGAAGAACACCGGUGGCGAAGGCGGUCUGCUGGGCAGUUGCUGACACUGAGGCGCGACAGCGUGGGGAGCAAACAGG